rnacentral:tRNA from 2 species
GGAGAGUUGUCCGAGUGGCUGAAGGAGCACGAUUGGAAAUCGUGUAACGGUCAAAAGCCGUUCGGGGGUUCGAAUCCCCCACUCUCCGCCA